rnacentral:ncRNA from 1 species
GAAAAGUUUUAUUCUAGCUUAGAAAUUAGGUUAAGUUUUAUUUUACAUGUAAAUUUUAGUACAAAAUGGGUGUAAAUUUCGAUAAUUUUCACAAACUUUCGUUGUUCGCAGUAGAGAAAUUUAAAUAUCAAGGAGAUUUGGAUUUAGGAAUAACUUAGAAUAUUGACUAAAUUUGUGCCAGCAGUUGCGGUUACACAGAUAAUAUUACUUAAUUUUUUUCGGAUACAGUUAAAUUUUAAUUAUAGGUUUGAAAGUAAAGCUUAUUGGGUAGAAUCAGUAAGUUUUAAAGUAAGCUGAUUUUUGAUUAUGAGGCUGAGAAAUUUAAUAUUUAAACUAGGAUUAGAUACCCUAUUAUUUUGAAUGUGAAUUUAUUUCUGGAUUAGUAGUAGCUAUGCCCUUGAAAAUUAAAGAUUUUGGCGGUAUUUUAGUCUGUUCAGAGGAACCUGUUCUGUAAUUGAUGAUCCACGAGUUAAUAAACUUUCUCUUUUAGUUUGUAUAUCGUCGUAGUUUGAAAAUUUUAAAAGAAUUUAAAUUUUCAUGAUUUUUUUUAAAAAAGGAAAUCAGAUCAAGGUGUAGCUUAUGGGGAAGGAAGUAAUGGGUUACGUUAAGUUUAUUUAUAGAUUUUAUUUUGUGAAAUUAGAUGAGUACGGAUUUGAUAGUAAUGUUAAUUAGACUAUUAACAUGAUUUUAGCUCUAAAAUAUGCACAUAUCGCCCGUCGCUUUCACUCCAAAGUGAAAUAAGUCGUAACAAAGUAGGCUUACUGGAAAGUGAGCCUGGAAAGG